CUGAGGUGCGAAAGCCGUUGGGGAGCCAAACCAGGAUUAGAUACCCCUGGUAGUCCCACGCCGUAAACGAUGAGGGCUAGUUGUCGGCAUGCUUGCCAUGUCGGUGACGCAGCUAACGCAUUAAGCCCUCCCGCCUGGGGAGUACGGUCCGCAAGAUUAAAACUCCAAAGGAAUUGACGGGGGCCCGCACAAGAGGUGGAGCAUGUGGUUUAAUUCGAAGCAACGCGAAGAACCUUACCAGCCCUUGACAUCCCGGUCGCGGAUUCCAGAGAUGGAUUCCUUCAGUUCGGCUGGACCGGAGACAGGUGUUGCAUGGCUGUCGUCAGCUCGUGUCGUGAGAUGUUGGGUUAAGUCCCGCAACGAGCGCAACCCUCGCUGUUAGUUGCCAUCAUUUAGUUGGGCACUCUAACGGGACCGCCGGUGAUAAGCCGGAGGAAGGUGGGGAUGACGUCAAGUCAUGCAUGGCCCUUACGGGCUGGGCUACACACGUGCUACAAUGG
rnacentral:rRNA from 1 species